rnacentral:rRNA from 1 species
AGAGUUUGAUCCUGGCUCAGAACGAACGCUGGCGGCAGGCCUAACACAUGCAAGUCGAGCGCGCCUUCGGGUGAGCGGCGGACGGGUUAGUAACGCGUGGGAACGUGCCCUUCAGUUGAGGAUAGCCCCGGGAAACUGGGAGUAAUACUCGAUACGCCCUUUGGGGGAAUGAAGGAUCGGCCCGCGUUGGAUUAGGUAGUUGGUGGGGUAACGGCCUACCAAGCCGACGAUCCAUAGCUGGUUUGAGAGGAUGAUCAGCAACACUGGGACUGAGACACGGCCCAGACUCCUACGGGAGGCAGCAGUGGGGAAUCUUGGACAAUGGGGGAAACCCUGAUCCAGCCAUGCCGCGUGAGUGAUGAAGGCCUUAGGGUCGUAAAGCUCUUUCGCCAGGGAUGAUAAUGACAGUACCUGGUAAAGAAACCCCGGCUAACUCCGUGCCAGCAGCCGCGGUAAUACGGAGGGGGUUAGCGUUGUUCGGAAUUACUGGGCGUAAAGCGCGCGUAGGCGGACUGUUAAGUCGGGGGUGAAAUCCCGGGGCUCAACCCCGGAACUGCCUCCGAUACUGGCAGUCUAGAGUUCGAGAGAGGUGAGUGGAAUUCCGAGUGUAGAGGUGAAAUUCGUAGAUAUUCGGANGAACACCAGUGGCGAAGGCGGCUCACUGGCUCGAUACUGACGCUGAAGUGCGAAAGCGUGGGGAGCAAACA